UUUGUAAUAGAAAUUGAUGCUAGCAGUUAGGAUAUGGGGUUGUGUUGCAACACAACAAGGGCAUCCAUUAGCUUACAGUUCUAACGCAUUCGAGCCUAAGAAUAAAUCUUUGUCGGUAUAUGAAAAAGAGUUUUUGGACAGGUAUUACAUAUGCAAUAUCCAAAUGGAUACACUAUUUGGAAUAAGGCUAAUUUUUUUUAUCAAAACUGAUCACCAAAGUAUUAAGUUCUUGUUAGAGCUGAGGCUUCACAAAAAUUUUCAGCAGAGGACUUCUAAGUUGUUAGGGGUGGAUUAUAAGACUUCGUAUAGGAAAGGGAUGGAUAAUAAAGUAGUUGAUGCACUUUCUCGAAGGACUGAUAAUUAGGUGUACGUUUUAUAAUCCAUCGUUACUCCUACCUGAAUGACUCAAUUUUCAGAUAUGAUGAUGAUGAGAAACUUGCUAAUAUUAUUAAGAAGUUGUUUAUACAAUCAGAUGCUCAUCCCCGGUGUAGGUUGUAGAACAGAGUGCUUCUUUACAAAGGAAGAAUACUGGUGGGGAAUAAUACAGAUCUCAGGAAGCAAUUGCUGCAACAUUACCAUAACUCCCCUGUUGGAGGACAAUCUAGAGUCCACGCUACUUGUAACAAGCUUAAAAAGUACUUUUAUUGGGUUGGAAUUUUGAUGGAUGUUAUGUCAGAUUUAGAGUUACAAUGUUCGUGCUAGAUACAAAUCUGAACACUGCUCAUACUCGGGAUUGUUGCAAACUCCGCCAAUACCAACCCAAGCUUACUUCUGGUGUUGCCAAAAUUUUCUUUGAUGCUGUGGUGAAGUUACAUGGAGUACCACUCAUUUCUGAAGAGAUGGAGUCUUUGCUGGUCUCUUUUCGCAAACUCUUUUCAAGUAUACAGAUACAAAAUUGGCCUACAAUAUUGCAUAUCAUCCUCAAACUCUUUUCAAGUAUACAGAUACAAAAUUGGCCUACAAUAUUACGUAUCAUCCUCAAUCUGACCGACUGAAAUAUUAAAUUAGUGCUUUGAAGCCUAUCUUAGUUGAAGCUCUUCACGGACAUACUCCCCUUCAACUCCCAGUAAUGGGACUUGAGCAGAAUAUGGUAAGGCCUGUUGAAGAAUUUUUGCAAGCCAGGUAGCAUGUUUCUUAAUUUUGGAAGAAAAUCUGUAAUUAUAAUGCAACAACAAGCAAAUAGGCAUAGAAAGACCUCGUUUUUUUUUUGAAAUUAUAGCCAUAUAGGCAGAGCUGCUUAGCCUUAAGGCACAAUCUCAAGCGCUCUACAGGACACUAUAGGCCUUACAAGGUUUUGGCCAGAAUUGGGAAAGUAGGCUACAAGCUAGAAUUGCCUCUUCACUCUACCAUUCAUCAUGUCUUCCAUGUGUCCCUCUUGAAAAAGAAGUUAGGGGAUAAUAUAAUUCAUAUGCUCCAAUUAUCAAA